rnacentral:rRNA from 1 species
UGCCAGCGCCGCGGUAAUACGGAGGGUGCAAGCGUUAAUCGGAAUUACUGGGCGUAAAGCGCACGUAGGCGGACCAUUAAGUUGGGGGUGAAAUCCCGGAGCCCAACUCCGGAACUGCUCUUGGAACUGGGAGACUAGAGACAAGCAGAGGCAGGUGGAAUUCCAGGUGUAGAGGUGAAAUUCGUAGAUAUUCGGAGGAACACCAGUGGCGAAGGCGGCUCACUGGCUCGAUACUGACGCUGAGGUGCGAAAGCGUGGGGAGCAAACAGGAUUAGAUA